CUCCAGGUGACAAGUCCCAAAUAGGACGAAAUGCGCAUCCUGAAU
rnacentral:hammerhead_ribozyme from 1 species